GCUAGAUGUGGUGGUGCAUACCUGUAAUCUAGGUACCAAGGAGGCUGGGGCUAGUGGGAGCUUGGGAAUUCUGAGCCCUAGUGGGACAUGCCAAUCAGUUGUACAUACUAAUUUUGUCAUCAAUAUGGUGAACUCUGAGGGGCAUGGGGCUACCAGGUUGCUUAAGGAGGGGCAAAACAGCUCAGGUUAAAAAUAACUCAGGCCAAAGCUUCUGUACCAAUUAAUGGGAUUGUGCCUGUGAGUAGCUUGUAUACUUUUAGCCUGGGUGAGAUGGGGAUACCUGCAUCUU
ensembl:misc_RNA Metazoa_SRP Metazoan signal recognition particle RNA